GGCCGGGUGGUGCAAUGGUUAGCACGUCCUGUCAAUGAUGGGAAGAUCGAGGUUCGAGUCCUUGCCUGGCCA